rnacentral:tRNA from 1 species
GUCAAGAUGGCCGAGCGGUCUAAGGCGAUGCGUUCAGGUCGCAGUCUCCCCUGGAGGCGUGGGUUUGAAUCCCACUUCUGACA